AACGCUAGCUACAGGCUUAACACAUGCAAGUCGAGGGGAAACGAUAUUGGAAGCUUGCUUCCGAUAGGCGUCGACCGGCGCACGGGUGAGUAACGCGUAUCCAACCUGCCCAUCACUUGGGAAUAACCUUGCGAAAGUAAGACUAAUACCCAAUGACGUCUCUAGAAGACAUCUGAAGGAGAUUAAAGAUUUAUCGGUGAUGGAUGGGGAUGCGUCUGAUUAGCUUGUUGGCGGGGUAACGGCCCACCAAGGCGACGAUCAGUAGGGGUUCUGAGAGGAAGGUCCCCCACAUUGGAACUGAGACACGGUCCAAACUCCUACGGGAGGCAGCAGUGAGGAAUAUUGGUCAAUGGGCGAGAGCCUGAACCAGCCAAGUAGCGUGCAGGAUGACGGCCCUAUGGGUUGUAAACUGCUUUUAUAAGGGAAUAAAGUGAGUCUCGUGAGGCUUUUUGCAUGUACCUUAUGAAUAAGGACCGGCUAAUUCCGUGCCAGCAGCCGCGGUAAUACGGAAGGUCCGGGCGUUAUCCGGAUUUAUUGGGUUUAAAGGGAGCGUAGGCCGGAGAUUAAGCGUGUUGUGAAAUGUAGAUGCUCAACGUCUGCACUGCAGCGCGAACUGGUUUUCUUGAGUACGCACAAAGUGGGCGGAAUUCGUGGUGUAGCGGUGAAAUGCUUAGAUAUCACGAAGAACUCCGAUUG
rnacentral:rRNA from 1 species